rnacentral:rRNA from 1 species
UUGUAGAGAUACGAGUGUGCCUUCGGGAGCUCUGAGACAGGUGCUGCAUGGCUGUCGUCAGCUCGUGUUGUGAAAUGUUGGGUUAAGUCCGCAACGAGCGCAACCCUUAUCCUUGUUUGCCAGCACUUCGGGUGGGAACUCCAGGGAGACUGCCGGUGAUAAACCGGAGGAAGGUGGGGACGACGUCAAGUCAUCAUGGCCCUUACGAGUAGGGCUACACACGUGCUACAAUGGCGCAUACAGAGGGCGGCGAGCCAGCGAUGGUGAGCGAAUCCCAAAAAGUGCGUCGUAGUCCGGAUUGGAGUCUGCAACUCGACUCCAUGAAGUCGGAAUCGCUAGUAAUCGUGGAUCAGAAUGCCACGGUGAAUACGUUCCCGGGCCUUGUACACACCGCCCGUCACACCAUGGGAGUGGGCUGCAAAAGAAGUGGGUAGUUUAACCUUAGGGGGGACGCUCACCACUUUGUGGUUCAUGACUGGGGUGAAGUCGUAACAAGGUAGGCGUAGUGCU